rnacentral:tRNA from 1 species
CGGGGGGUUGGAUAGCGGCUAUUCCGUCUGCUUUGGGAGCAGAAGGUCGGGGGUUCAAAUCCCCCCUCCCCGA